GACGAACGCUGGCGGCGUGCCUAAUACAUGCAAGUAGAACGCUGAAGAGAGGAGCUUGCUCUUCUUGGAUGAGUUGCGAACGGGUGAGUAACGCGUAGGUAACCUGCCUUGUAGCGGGGGAUAACUAUUGGAAACGAUAGCUAAUACCGCAUAACAAUGGAUGACACAUGUCAUUUAUUUGAAAGGGGCAAUUGCUCCACUACAAGAUGGACCUGCGUUGUAUUAGCUAGUAGGUGAGGUAAUGGCUCACCUAGGCGACGAUACAUAGCCGACCUGAGAGGGUGAUCGGCCACACUGGGACUGAGACACGGCCCAGACUCCUACGGGAGGCAGCAGUAGGGAAUCUUCGGCAAUGGGGGCAACCCUGACCGAGCAACGCCGCGUGAGUGAAGAAGGUUUUCGGAUCGUAAAGCUCUGUUGUAAGUCAAGAACGGGUGUGAGAGUGGUAAGUUCACACUGUGACGGUAGCUUACCAGAAAGGGACGGCUAACUACGUG
rnacentral:rRNA from 1 species